CCUACGGGAGGCAGCAGUAGGGAAUCUUCGGCAAUGGGGGGAACCCUGACCGAGCAACGCCGCGUGAACGAAGAAGUUAUUCGUAAUGUAAAGUUCUUUUAACAGGGAAGAAAGAGAAAUUUGACGGUACCUGAAGAAUAAGCCCCGGCUAACUACGUGCCAGCAGCCGCGGUAAUACGUAGGGGGCGAGCGUUAUCCGGAAUUAUUGGGCGAAAGGGGUGCGUAGAUGGCAUAGUAAGUCUUUUGUAAAAAUGCUGGGCUCAACCCAGUAGGGCAAAAGAUACUGGAAAGCUAGAGUAUGACAGAGGCAAGUGGAACUACAGGUGUAGCGGUAAAAUGCGUAAAUAUAUGUAAGAACACCAGUGGCGAAGGCGGCUUGCUGGGUCGAUACUGACAUUGAGGCACGAAAGCGUGGGGAGCAAACAGGAUUAGAUACCCUUGUAGUC
rnacentral:rRNA from 1 species